AACGCUGGCGGCGUGUCUAACACAUGCAAGUCGAACGGAACUGUUUUGAAAGAUUUCUUCGGAAUGAAUUUGAUUUAGUUUAGUGGCGGACGGGUGAGUAACGCGUGAGUAACCUGCCUUCAAGAGGGGGAUAACAUUCUGAAAAGAAUGCUAAUACCGCAUGACAUAUCGGAAUCACAUGAUUUUGAUAUCAAAGAUUUUAUCGCUUGAAGAUGGACUCGCGUCCGAUUAGUUAGUUGGUGAGGUAACGGCUCACCAAGACCGCGAUCGGUAGCCGGACUGAGAGGUUGAACGGCCACAUUGGGACUGAGACACGGCCCAGACUCCUACGGGAGGCAGCAGUGGGGGAUAUUGCGCAAUGGGGGCAACCCUGACGCAGCAACGCCGCGUGAAGGAUGAAGGUUUUCGGAUUGUAAACUUCUUUUAUUAAGGACGAAAAAUGACGGUACUUAAUGAAUAAGCUCCGGCUAACUACGUGCCAGCAGCCGCGGUAAUACGUAGGGAGCAAGCGUUGUCCGGAUUUACUGGGUGUAAAGGGUGCGUAGGCGGCUUUGCAAGUCAGAUGUGAAAUCUAUGGGCUCAACCCAUAAACUGCAUUUGAAACUGUAGAGCUUGAGUGAAGUAGAGGCAGGCGGAAUUCCCCGUGUAGCGGUGAAAUGCGUAGAGAUGGGGAGGAACACCAGUGGCGAAGGCGGCCUGCUGGGCUUUAACUGACGCUGAGGCACGAAAGCGUGGGUAGCAA
rnacentral:rRNA from 1 species